CAACUCCGGUUGAUCCUGCCGGACCCCACCGCUAUCGGGGUGAGACUAAGCCAUGCGAGUCGUACGCUCCCAGGCCAUGGUGGGAGCGUGGCGUACGGCUCAGUAAAACAUGGUCAACCUACCCUCAAGACGGGGAUAACCCCGGGAAACUGGGGCUAAUCCCCGAUAGGUGAGAAUGCCUGGAAUUGGCUUCUCACCGAAAGGGUGUUGGAACCAUGCCUUCCAACACCGCUUGAGGAUGGGACCAUGUCCGAUCAGGUUGUUGGUGAGGUAACGGCUCACCAAGCCUAUAACCGGUACGGGCCGUGAGAGCGGGAGCCCGGAGAUGGACCCUGAGACAAGGGUCCAGGCCCUACGGGGCGCAGCAGGCGCGAAACCUCCGCAAUGCGGGAAACCGUGACGGGGUCACCCCGAGUGCCACCCGCUGAGGGUGGCUUUUCCCCGGUCUAACCAGCCGGGGGAAAUAAGGGGAGGGCAAGCCUGGUGUCAGCCGCCGCGGUAAUACCAGCUCCCCGAGUGGUGGGGACGAUUAUUGGGCCUAAAGCGUCCGUAG
rnacentral:rRNA from 1 species